AUGACGGCUGCCCAAAGCCCCCCCAGAUUGCACAUGGCUAUGUGGAGCACUCGGUUCGCUACCAGUGUAAGAACUACUACAGACUGCGCACAGAAGGAGAUGGUAAGACCUGGACAACUGUCUCUGUGCCCUACAUACAACCCCCUUCUCUGACAUUUCCAUGAUGGAUGGUGCUGAGGUGAUUUGCCAGAAAGUUCAUUGCUCUCCUUGGAGCCAGGAGAUUUAGAUUCUAAUAAGCGUUUUGUCGCCAGUAGCC
rnacentral:sRNA from 1 species